GUGGGGAAUUUUGGACAAUGGGGGCAACCCUGAUCCAGCCAUGCCGCGUGAGUGAAGAAGGCCUUCGGGUUGUAAAGCUCUUUCGGCCGGGAAGAAAUCGCAUCUCCUAAUACGGGGUGUGGAUGACGGUACCGGAAGAAGAAGCACCGGCUAACUACGUGCCAGCAGCCGCGGUAAUACGUAGGGUGCGAGCGUUAAUCGGAAUUACUGGGCGUAAAGCGUGCGCAGGCGGCGCCAUAAGACAGCUGUGAAAUCCCCGGGCUUAACCUGGGAACUGCGGUUGUGACUGUGGUGCUUGAGUGCGGCAGAGGGGGGUGGAAUUCCACGUGUAGCAGUGAAAUGCGUAGAGAUGUGGAGGAACACCGAUGGCGAAGGCAGCCCCCUGGGUUGACACUGACGCUCAUGCACGAAAGCGUGGGGAGCAAACAGGAUUAGAUACCCUAGUAGUCC
rnacentral:rRNA from 1 species